rnacentral:rRNA from 1 species
CUAACAAGGAUUCCCCUAGUAACGGCGAGUGAAGCGGGAAGAGCUCAAAUUUGAAAUCUGGCAGUCUUCGAUUGUCCGAGUUGUAAUCUAUAGAGGCGUUUUCCGUGCCGGACCGUGUCCAAGUCUCCUGGAAAGGAGUAUCAAAGAGGGUGAUAAUCCCGUACUUAACACGACCACCGGUGCUCUGUGAUACGUCUUCUACGAGUCGAGUUGUUUGGGAAUGCAGCUCAAAAUGGGUGGUGAAUUCCAUCUAAAGCUAAAUAUUGGCGAGAGACCGAUAGCGAACAAGUACCGUGAGGGAAAGAUGAAAAGCACUUUGGAAAGAGAGUUAAACAGUACGUGAAAUUGUUGAAAGGGAAACGAUUGAAGUCAGUCGUGUUCUUUGGAUUCAGCCAGUUCUGCUGGUCUACUUCCUUGGAACGGGUCAACAUCAGUUUUGUCCGGUGGAUAAAGGUAGUAGGAAUGUGACUUCUCCGGAAGUGUUAUAGCCUAUUAUCACAUACACUGGGUGAGACUGAGGACUGCAGCUCGCCUUUAUGGCCGGCCUUCGGGCACGUUCGAGCUUAGGAUGUUGACAUAAUGGCUUU